UCCGCCGUGGUGUAGUGGUUAGCAUUGGUCGCUUUCAUUGACAGAAACUUCUUCUAAAAUCAAGUGCCGACUAGACCCGGGUUCAAUUCCCGGCGGCGGAA